AAAGAGGGGGACCUUCGGGCCUCUUGCCAUCAGAUGUGCCCAGAUGGGAUUAGCUUGUUGGUGAGGUAACGGCUCACCAAGGCGACGAUCCCUAGCUGGUCUGAGAGGAUGACCAGCCACACUGGAACUGAGACACGGUCCAGACUCCUACGGGAGGCAGCAGUGGGGAAUAUUGCACAAUGGGCGCAAGCCUGAUGCAGCCAUGCCGCGUGUAUGAAGAAGGCCUUCGGGUUGUAAAGUACUUUCAGCGGGGAGGAAGGUGUUGUGGUUAAUAACCGCAGCAAUUGACGUUACCCGCAGAAGAAGCACCGGCUAACUCCGUGCCAGCAGCCGCGGUAAUACGGAGGGUGCAAGCGUUAAUCGGAAUUACUGGGCGUAAAGCGCACGCAGGCGGUCUGUCAAGUCGGAUGUGAAAUCCCCGGGCUCAACCUGGGAACUGCAUUCGAAACUGGCAGGCUUGAGUCUUGUAGAGGGGGGNNNNNNNNNNNNNNNNNNNNGAAAUGCGUAGAGAUCUGGAGGAAUACCGGUGGCGAAGGCGGCCCCCUGGACAAAGACUGACGCUCAGGUGCGAAAGCGUGGGGAGCAAACAGGAUUAGAUACCCUGGUAGUCCACGCCGUAAACGAUGUCUACUUGGAGGUUGUGCCCUUGAGGCGUGGCUUCCGGAGCUAACGCGUUAAGUAGACCGCCUGGGGAGUACGGCCGCAAGGUUAAAACUCAAAUGAAUUGACGGGGGCCCGCACAAGCGGUGGAGCAUGUGGUUUAAUUCGAUGCAACGCGAAGAACCUUACCUGGUCUUGACAUCCACGGAAGUUUUCAGAGAUGAGAAUGUGCCUUCGGGAACCGUGAGACAGGUGCUGCAUGGCUGUCGUCAGCUCGUGUUGUGAAAUGUUGGGUUAAGUCCCGCAACGAGCGCAACCCUUAUCCUUUGUUGCCAGCGGUCCGGCCGGGAACUCAAAGGAGACUGCCAGUGAUAAACUGGAGGAAGGUGGGGAUGACGUCAAGUCAUCAUGGCCCUUACGACCAGGGCUACACACGUGCUACAAUGGCGCAUACAAAGAGAAGCGACCUCGCGAGAGCAAGCGGACCUCAUAAAGUGCGUCGUAGUCCGGAUUGGAGUCUGCAACUCGACUCCAUGAAGUCGGAAUCGCUAGUAAUCGUGGAUCAGAAUGCCACGGUGAAUACGUUCCCGGGCCUUGUACACACCGCCCGUCACACCAUGGGAGUGGGUUGCAAAAGAAGUAGGUAGCUUAACCUUCGGGAGGGCGCUUACCACUUUGUGAUUCAUGACUGGGGUGAAGUCGUAACAAGGUAACCGUAGGGGAACCUGCGGUUGGAUCACCUCCUUACCUUAAAGAAGCGUACUUUGCAGUGCUCACACAGAUUGUCUGAUGAAAA
rnacentral:rRNA from 1 species